rnacentral:lncRNA from 1 species
CUUUUCCCUUUUGUUUGUGUGUGGUUCUCUUAGGUUUUAGCUUUAUACAUAAGAAAAAAAUUGCAUAGAAAUGUGUAUAUAUAUGAGAAUUAUCUUGAUUUUGGUUAUAAUCGAAAUUUUUAUGCAUGCGCACAGUUGAUUUGUCUCGAAACUCAAUGAUGGCGAUGGGAGGCUUGCCGCUAUCUAUAUCAAUGAUGAAAUUGAAAUUAAAUCCAAAUGAAGAGGAGACUUGUGGGAGAAAAUGUAGUUCUCAUGCAGAAUGCUCUGAUGGUUGGAUAUGCAGGUGGUGUUGGUGGCAUUAUCAGUUGAACUAUGAUCGAUAUGAUUAUCAUUGUAGCAUGUUACCAAACUAAAGAACAUCGCGGGGAAUUUAAGAAUAUGGUCCAUGAGUUAAGACCUAAGAGUGAUAUGUUGGAAGCACAGAGAACGUUCGUUUGCUGAUAUUAUUAUUAGUAUUUCGAUAAGUACUACUUUAGUAAGAUCCUUGUAUAUGCAUAAUCAAAGAGUGCUAACAUAAUUAGGUACUACUUUAAAUACUCAUUUUGCAUGUGUUAUUAGAAUAAGAGUGCUAAAUAUACACUUUUUCCUUCACCCACGUAUUAAAAAUCCUAAAUUCGCUUCUGAGUCCAAUGUUUUGUGUAAUAUUGGAAGACUAUAUGUAAAUAAACUUUUCUUUAUUUGUCUAAGUAUUAUAGAGGAACAACAUAUCGUAUAAGUGGACUUUGUUCUAGAAUAAAUUAUGAGGUUAUUCUCUCAACGCUUUUACUCUAUUCCCUCGCGUAGGGGUAAGUUUUUUACCGGAUUGCCGUUGCGUCUCUCAACGCUUUUGUAUUAUCUUUUAUGUUAUCUUUAAAAUAAUGAACUGGUUAACUGACCAUGUAAUCUUUGUGUUUUAUCAAACAUCUCAAAUCUCAAAAAAUUGCUUUUCUGAAAGAAAGAAAAAAAUGUUUUUAGCUUUUCAAAAGCUUAGCCAAAGAAGCAAUAAAUCAUGUCAUUUAUAAUUAAUUCUGGAUACCUGAUUUAAAUUACAUGUUAAUUGCAGAGUUAAUUAUAAAUCAGACAUCCAGAGCUAUAUAAAUCAUGGAACCUUCUAUAUAUACUAUAUAAUGUAUAUUUUUACCUAGGUAUAUACUAUACAAUGUAAGUACAAGAAGCAACAAGUAUAAUUAACUCUGAAUAUCUAACUUAAAACAUAUUUUUCUUUAGAUAUUUAGUACUACUAUUCGAUAUUUACUAACUUGAUCGACUGAUCAAUUCGGUCAUAUACGCCCAUUAAAGAGAUUAAAACACUUUCUGCUGAGAAAUUCUUCAUUCUCAAUAUUCCAAUCUGCAAUCUCUGAUUAAGAGCGAAGGAAAAUUUCACAACAAAAUUCCAAUACUCAAGAUUUCAUUUGCAAUGAGGUUAUUUCCUUGUGUAAUAAAUGAAGUUAUACACAGAUAGAUAGAUGCUUUAUCAUUAAAGAAUCUCUUUUUUUACUAUUCUUUGGUCCUACGACAAGACUAAUUUAAUUAAAGAGAAUCUAGUUCUUUAAAUCAAUCACGACGUAACAUAUCAUGUAAUAUAGCGAAAAUAUGGGUAUAACAUAUCAUGCACGGAUUAGUAGCGACAAUACUGCCUAGUAUUAUACUCUAGUUCUUGAUUAUAUGCUCGUCACCUCACACAUACAAUAAUUUUAUAUACGACAGUCAAAUAUCUCUACAUCAAGUUAAGAAAAAUAAUAAUAAAGAAAGUUAUCGAUAGAGCAUAUAUUCAUCCUUCAGAAAUAUAUGGUAACUCUUUAAUUAAUUUAUAAUAUUAUUAAAUAUAAACCACUAUUAUAUAUUAAAGUGAAAGGUCAAUAUCAGUAUCACUAGCCUAUAAUAUUCAUAAUUUGCUUAUAGAUAUGAUUUUAGCUAGUGAGGAAUUACCAUACUCUUCUACUCUACAUCUUCAAGCUCAUAGCAUUAUUGCCAUGGCUAUAAAAAAGUUCUUUACUUAGAUUUGCUAUCUUCUUCUCCAUUCUCCUUACUGUUGCCAUGACUUACUCUUCUCCGUCUUUUUCCUCUCUCUUUUUUUGUUCUCGUUAAUUAGAAAAGAUCUUAUUCUUUGAUUAUUAUUACCGUUGUUUCUUUUGCUUCAGUUAUCUUAGUAUCUUACUGUUGUUAAUGUUUGUUGUCACCGCUUAUUUUUUAUUUUUCUUUAAGUCGAGAGUCUACCUAAAACAGCCUCUCUAGCUUCACCGUGGUAGCGGUAAGCCUGCGUACAUAGUAUCCUCCUUAGCAGGGACGUAUUUAGGGGACCAGAAGGGGGUUCACGAACCCCCUACGGCCGAAAAAUUAUACCGUGCAUAUAAGACAAAAUCCAAUUUGUUUCUCUAGUAUCUUGUUGUUGUUAAUAUUUGUUGUCGCUGUUUCUUUUUUCAUAUUUUGAGCUGAGCGUCUACCUGAAACAGCCUCUCUACCUUCACAUGGUAGGGGUAAGCCAUACGUACAUGCUAUCCUCCUCAGCAGGGGCAGAUUUGGGGGGCCGUACAUAUAUUUCAAAUUUAUGUACAUAUAUUUCACUUAUAUUUCGAAUUUAUGGAAAUUCUAUCUCCGUCACUGCUCCCAAAACCCCACAUCUCACUUGUUAUAUUACAUUGAGUUUGUUGUUCUUAUUACAAAAGAGUAUUACAUAGACAUGUAUAUAUGAUAAUUAAACUUGACGUUGGUUAUAUCAAAAUAUUAUGCAGUUGAUUUGACUCAAACCUCAGAGAUGAAAGCGAUGGCAAAGGGAGCUGACUUGCUGCUAUCUAUAUCAAUGAUAAAAAUGACAUUAAUUCCAAAUGACUUUUUUAAAUGGACUUGUGACAGAGAAUGCAGUUCUGAUGUAGAUUGCUCAGAUGGAGUACUAUGCAGG